UACGGGGGGAGCAAGCGUUGUUCGGAUUUACUGGGCGUAAAGGGCGCGUAGGCGGCGUGACAAGUCACUUGUGAAAUCUCCGGGCUUAACUCGGAGCGGCCAAGUGAUACUGUCGUGCUAGAGUGCGGAAGGGGCUACUGGAAUUCUCGGUGUAGCGGUGAAAUGCGUAGAUAUCGAGAGGAAUACCGGUGGCGAAGGCGGCAUCCUGGACCGAGAUUGACGCUGAGGAGCGAAAGCUAGGGGAGCAAACGGG
rnacentral:rRNA from 1 species